AGCCGCCGCCGCCGUUUUCCCCGGUAUGGACGAACAGCGGGCGAGGUCUUUUAUGCCUUUCGCGGGAAGGUCAACAAACGGUGAGAAGCUAUCGAAAACGACCUGUUUUACCACAUUUCCAGGCCACUUGACCCACGGGGACCUGACUUUGCAACAUUCGUCGGGGGCGCUGCAAAAAGCUUAGCUUCUCGGAAACUCAGGCCUGCCUGUGUCUCUCAAGGAUGGACAGAGGUGGUUGUGGACUUAAAGACCCUUUGAUGUAAGGGAUAGAGAGAAGCUAAGUGAGCGCACCCAUCUCUGAGCAUUUCAACCGCGAGGGAAUCCGAGCAAAGUAACAAUAAGAUACAACUAAUAUCCUAGGAAUGCUGUUGGUUUACAGUGUUCUGUCAAUUUUCUCCUGUACUGUCGGGAGCCAUAAGGCUGCUCCAGUAAAGAAAGCAAAGCCACAGUCGGCACCUGCAUGAGGCUUGUCUGGUUAGCAGAGCUACAGACAAGCUGAAGAAAGAAGAAGGAUUGCAGAGCAAUCCCUUGAAAGACAUCGGCUCCAGGAAAAUAAAAAUGAUAUCCCCUAAAAAAUAUGUUAAUCUAUUUUUCUGUGUUUAUCUUUCCUUUUCUAUCUCUAUUCACAGCUUUCUUACUGCUAAAGAUUUGCCCUGGGUACGUAAAACACUUGAACCAAAACAGAAUGAAGUUAUUUAAACAAUGUAAUGGAAAAAGCCUUUGUUUUGGAGUAACAAUUUAUGGCACCUAUUUUGUGAGAGUAUACAGGGGAAACUUAUGAUUUCAGUCCCUUUACUUAAAAAGAAGUUUGGGGCUGGGAAAAUGUUGUUUGGCCUAUAAAUUGCUAUUUUCUAUAAUAGAUAUAUUUUUUAACAGUGUCACUUGUAACUUUCAUCCCUUGUGGGGGCAUUUGUUAAUUUUUGGGUAUAAUACUCCUUUCUAUUGAAAUUGGUGGUUUGGAACUUACGUAAAUCAGCACAAUAGGUUAAAUGCUUAGCUUGCUGGCGCCAAAUAAAUCGUGGUUUUAAGAAUGCCAUGAGCCCAAGGCUUUCAUGCGUUUUGUUAACCACAUACACCUUUAGUUAAAGAAUGUUAGGUAUCAUAGUUUAUUACUUAUUAAAGCUUUGUUCUUAAUAUAGAAUAGAAUAGCUACUGUUGUUGACCUUUUAAGAAAAAUACAGUGUGAAACUUUAAGUUUGUAAUCUUGAAGGAAAAUCUAAAGUUGAAAGGAACAUGUUUUAACUAACCUUUUUUUGUAUCUCGGGUGGAGGGAACAAAAGGGCUUUAAAUCAAAUGUUAAUGUCAAAUCUUACACGAAACCUGAUUGUGAUAGGGUAUAAAAACUGAUGCUUUUCAUUUAAUAAAUUGGGUCAUCUGCAGCAUG
rnacentral:lncRNA from 1 species